rnacentral:rRNA from 1 species
GGAUUAGGCAUGCAAGUCGGCUGUGAAAGCCUUCCGCUUAACGGAAGAACGGCAUCUGAUACUACAGGGCUUGAGUACGGGAGGGGAGAGUGGAACUUCUGGUGGAGCGGUGAAAUGCGUAGAUAUCAGAAGGAACGCCGGCGGCGAAAGCGACUCUCUGGUCCGAAACUGACGCUGAGUGUGCGAAAGCUAGGGGAGCAAACGGGAUUAGAUACCCCGGUAGUCCUAGCCGUAAACGAUGGGCACUAAGUAGAGGGGUUUU